GACAGAGGAUGCAAGCGUUAUCCGGAAUGAUUGGGCGUAAAGCGUCUGUAGGUGGCUUUUUAAGUCCGCCGUCAAAUCCCAGGGCUCAACCCUGGACAGGCGGUGGAAACUACCAAGCUGGAGUACGGUAGGGGCAGAGGGAAUUUCCAGUGGAGCGGUGAAAUGCGUAGAGAUUGGAAAGAACACCGAUGGCGAAGGCACUUUACUGGGCUAUUACUAACACUCAGAGACGAAAGCUAGGGUGGCAAAUGGG
rnacentral:rRNA from 1 species